AACAGACAGGAAACAAGACAACAAUGGGAUACAAAGAAAUAAACAAAAACAGAGAAAUUAAUUAAAAUAGGAAAAGGGGACGUGAACAGGCUACGGCAGCUGUACAGAACAGGAUAAAGGAGGUGCAGAAGACACUGUAUUCAGCAGAACUAACAGAAGACACAGUAUUUAGCAGAACACAGACACAUUAACACAACAGAAGACACUGUGUUCAGCAGAACUAACAGAAGACACUGUAUUCAGCAGAACUAACAGGAGACUAUGUGGUAAGGUAUUCAGCAGAACUAACAGGAGACUAUGUGGUAAGGUACUCAGCAGAACUAACAGGAGACUAUGUGGUAAGGUAUUCAGCAGAACUAACAGGAGACUAUGUGGUAAGGUAUUCAGCAGAACUAACAGGAGACUAUGUGGUAAGGUAUUCAGCAGAACUAACAGGAGACUAUGUGGUAAGGUACUCAGCAGAACUAACAGGAGACUAUGUGGUAAGGUACUCAGCAGAACUAACA